ACGAAGGACCCGAGCGUUAUCCGGAUUUAUUGGGUUUAAAGGGUGCGUAGGCGGACUUUCAAGUCAGUGGUGAAAGCCCAUCGCUCAACGAUGGAAUUGCCAUUGAUACUGUUGGUCUUGAGUACGGUUGAAGUGGGCGGAAUGUGUCAUGUAGCGGUGAAAUGCUUAGAUAUGACACAGAACACCUAUUGCGAAGGCAGCUCGCUAAGCCGUAACUGACGCUGAGGCACGAAAGUGUGGGUAGCAAACAGGAUUAGAUACCCUGGUAGUCCACACCCUAAACGAUGAUAACUCGAUGUUGGCGAUACACAGUCAGCGUCUAAGCGAAAGCAUUAAGUUAUCCACCUGGGAAGUACGACCGCAAGGUUG
rnacentral:rRNA from 1 species